rnacentral:rRNA from 1 species
CCUACGGGGGGCAGCAGUGAGGAAUAUUGGUCAAUGGACGCAAGUCUGAACCAGCCAUGCCGCGUGCAGGAAGACGGCUCUAUGAGUUGUAAACUGCUUUUGUACGAGGGUAAACGCAGAUACGCGUAUCUGUCUGAAAGUAUCUUACGAAUAAGGAUCGGCUAACUCCGUGCCAGCAGCCGCGGUAAUACGGAGGAUUCAAGCGUUAUCCGGAUUUAUUGGGUUUAAAGGGUUGGUAUGCGGUCGGAUAAGUUAGAGGGGAAAUCCCGAGGCUCAACUUCGGAAUUGCCUCUGAUACUGUUCGUCUAGAGAGUAGUUGAGGUAGGCGGAAUGUAUGGUGUAGCGGUGAAAUGCUUAGAGAUCAUACAGAACACCGAUUGCGAAGGCAGCUUACCAAGCUACUACUGACGUUGAGGCACGAAAGCGUGGGGAGCAAACAGGAUUAGAUACCCGAGUAGUC